AUGAACGCUGGCGGCGUGCCUAAUACCUGCAAGUCGAGCGCACAGACGAGGAGCUUGCUCCUCUGACGUUAGCGGCGGACGGGUGAGUAACACGUGGAUAACCUACCUAUAAGACUGGGAUAACUUCGGGAAACCGGAGCUAAUACCGGAUAAUAUAUUGAACCGCAUGGUUCAAUAGUGAAAGACGGUUUUGCUGUCACUUAUAGAUGGAUCCGCGCCGCAUUAGCUAGUUGGUAAGGUAACGGCUUACCAAGGCAACGAUGCGUAGCCGACCUGAGAGGGUGAUCGACCACACUGGAACUGAGACACGGUCCAGACUCCUACGGGAGGCAGCAGUAGGGAAUCUUCCGCAAUGGGCGAAAGCCUGACGGAGCAACGCCGCGUGAGUGAUGAAGGUCUUCGGAUCGUAAAACUCUGUUAUUAGGGAAGAACAAAUGUGUAAGUAACUAUGCACGUCUUGACGGUACCUAAUCAGAAAGCCACGGCUAACUACGUG
rnacentral:rRNA from 1 species